rnacentral:rRNA from 1 species
UACGAAGGGGGCUAGCGUUGUUCGGAAUUACUGGGCGUAAAGGGCGCGUAGGCGGUGUGUCAAGUCAGGCGUGAAAGCCCCGGGCUCAACCUGGGAACCGCGCUUGAGACUGGCACGCUCGAGUCCGGGAGAGGAUGGUGGAAUUCCCAGUGUAGAGGUGAAAUUCGUAGAUAUUGGGAAGAACACCGAUGGCGAAGGCGGAUCUCUGGGCCAUUACUGACGCUGAGGAGCGAAAGCGUGGGGAGCGAACAGG